GGCUACUUACUUAUUUUGUUGAAGGCUGAUUUCUUUCCUAUGGUAGAUUAUAAUGCUUUACUUUUUUGUGGAGGGUUGAUUUCUUCCUUGUAAAGAUAAGAAAUUCUUAAACAAACAGGACCCUUAGAGUCCUAUAUAAAUCCUAGUAUCUUUCAUGAAAAAAGACAAUGAAUGAUUUUACAAACUCCACAAAUACUUGUGUCAAUCGCUCAGAGAGGGAGAGGGUGUGAGACCCAAAAUCACCCCACAAGGGGAGGGUGUGAGGCCCACUUUCUAUCCUAUUCCUUCUACUUAAGAUUCAGUGUUCCUGCGACUCUGAUUGACUCCACCAUCUACCCACGCAAGCCUAUUCCGUCAAGAGAAGAUCUGUCUCCUCCAGAAUUUUUAACUGUCGUGCUGAGAGAAGGAGUGAUUUCUUAUUCUACAGA
rnacentral:lncRNA from 1 species